rnacentral:lncRNA from 1 species
UUCUUUACCUUCUUGCUUGAGGUUAUCUACUCACAAACUUAAUGCUGGUAAUUUUUAUGAUUUUGUAAGACAGUAUAAGUAGUAUUCAAAUUAUUUGUGAUGAUCAAUGUCUUAAAAGUGCUAAGUAACAAGCAAAGAUGAAAAAAGGGAAACCGAAGGUACUGCUCAUGGGCAGUGCUGAAUAAUGCUGGUGAGACAGAAUGCAGUCACCUGUAGAUACAUAGUUUGAAAAAGAAAAAUUGAAAUAUUGCCUUUAGAAUUAUAUCAGACAAAAGGAUAAGAUAGGAAAACCAAAGUAAUCUGUCUAAAAUCCACAUGAAAGACUCAAAACAUCAUUUAAUUUUUGUCAACUCUAAUAUUGGCUGUACAUUAUUUGAUGGACUAUUAGUUUAAGUAAUAGAAAAAAGACCUUAAAAUUACAUAAAUAGUCAUAAAUAUGAUGUUUGCAGUCAAAUGUGCUAUCUAUACAGAAUCUUGAAUAGUCUUAAAAAAAAAAGGUAUAUUGAAAAUACAGGUAUGUAAAUUUGCUGACAGAGCUAAGAAAAUGAACUGAAUGUUAGCAAGGAUUCCAUUAGAGGGUUCCGAGUGAAAAGACAAAGGGACAGAAUUGAUGGGGAAAAAAACCCCAAACACUUGCUGACCAUCCAAAGAUAAGUUUCCAAUUUGAUUUAUCAUCUCCCACUGUUCAGAAACUGUAGUUUUCUUGAGAAUAGCUUGAUGCCUACAUUAUUUAAAAAUAAAUUGCCAUCUGUUUCUUACAGGUGACACUGUCAGGAUUUUCUUCAUGAGCAAGUGGUCUAGAAAACAACCUUUAAAAAAGAAAAAGCAAAAGCUGAAAUUCCCGCAAUCCUAGGACUUUAAAACUGAGAGCUGGCACUAAGUAUGAUAGGAGCAUCUGAAAUGUUUCUCUGAACAUCAAUCAAUCUAAAAGGUUUGCAGAGAACUGCAAACUGCCAGAAAAGCUGGUUCAGGAAGAAGUUAAAGUCAAUGACUACUCUGCAGUAAGAGUCUCCUCUUUUCAGUGUGAGGGCUUUGUGGAUGUGGCCAGCCGAUAGCAGCACAGUGCUGAGAAAAGAUGAAUAGCCUUGCUUUUGUCCUCUUGCUCUUUUCAGCUCAGUUCUUUUCAUUUUCUUCAGCAUCUGAGAGUUAU